rnacentral:lncRNA from 1 species
UUCUUUAGCAAUAAUACAUGAACAACUUAUGAUUGUGAGGAGAUACGAGGGUCUUCUCUUACACUGAACCAAAUUUGGAUAGAAAACAAUCCUCACGUGGGCUCUGCUGGAGGAAGAGGCUCAGAAAUCUGGUUAAGGAUCUCAUCAUAUGAGGAGGAAUCAGGAGAAGGAGGUCUCGGUGGUGUCUCCAUCUCGACGAUCUGGUCUGCGGUGGCUUGGAGGCUUCGCGGCAAGGAAGACGACAGCGAGGAAGCUUCACGGUGGGGAGAAGCAGCGGCUCAGCGAGGAGAGAGAGAGCGCUCGACGAGGGAGAGAGAAGAAGAAAGAGAAGGCUGGGGGCGCAGGAGAAGAGAGAAAAGGAGGCAGAGAUUUAGUUUUGUGUUUAGGGUUAGGGAAAAGAGAUUAAGAUGGGUAUUUAUAGGGAGGAGAUUAUAGUUGGUUCAAAUAAAAGAGGAAAACCAAUUGGGAAAAGGAAAUUAAACCAAAACCCAAUGCGUUUGGGUUUCACAGUUCAUCACAUCCAAACUCUGGUAUUCUGCAGUCAUCAUGAUUUGGUUUUUUUCUCGCUGUAGAAAAUUGUUAGUUAUUUCAGAAGUAUGCUUGCAUUUUUGUUGUUUUGAUAAGUCUUUUUACAUGACUUCUUAGAGAUAAGAUGAAUGGAAGAAGCGGUGAUUCCGACGCUGGAGCUUCAAAAACUGGUGGAUCUAUGGUUGUAGAGAAGUUCAAAUCGCCAAAGGUUUGCUGCAUCGAUCUAUGGUGCUUGUCUACGCUUGGAAGCUUGCGGAAUGCAUCAAGUGAAGAACUCUAAAGACUCUUUUUGCAAGCAGAAUAUUUUUUAGAGACAGGUUAAUCUUUUUCCCUCUCUAUGGAAUCUCUCAAAGCAUUACAAGAGAGAACCAUACUUAAACCGCAGGAGAGGCUGAUCUCUUUAAAAAAAUACAAAAUUUGCUUCUUUUACGACGUGCCCUUUUUGGGCUUGGAUGUAAUGUUGCUGUCACUUUAUAAUCAAGUGUUGUAGUUCAUAUUUUUUUAGCUUGAUUUCUAUGCAUUCUAUUCGACACAACUUGAGAUAAUAAAAUAUCUCAGAAACAGUUGACAAAAGAAAAAUAUCUCAUAAAGCAUGUUUCAGAACUUGUAAUCACUAUUUGGUAUACUGUGUACGUGUUGUAAUGGAAAAAUAUCAAACUCCUAAAUAACUAGAUAGAUGAUCAUUUUACUACAAGAGAAUAAGAGAGUUUAGACAAAAUCAGAUUUUCCUUUUUGACAUUUUUUUUUUUCUGGAAAGGUAUUGACUUUGGGUAUAAGAAAUAAACCAUUUUUUCAUAGACUUCAACAAUUUUAAAGUACAAUAUUUUUUUGUAAUAGAUGAUAGGUUUGGAAAUUUUUGUAAGCCUAAUAAACCAUCUUAGAAAACAAAAUUGGGAACCAAAUUAUCGCAAACACAUAAGAAACAAAAAAUUUCAAUCACAGAGACUUUGUCUGCACACUUCAACCGUAGACUGUAGACGAAGUAUACUCUUCCAAGCUAACUAGCUAUUAAAUCAACAAAUUCGAUUCCACAAUAAAUAUCGACUUAAAAAAAAAUGAAACUCAUUGUCGGAGGUGACAAAGUAACCCCUUGAGGGUGUAGUAGUUAGACCAGUUGGUAACACACAUUCCAAAACCUAAAAAUUAAAAAAAAAUUGUUAUAUAUAUUCUAUAAAAUUGUUUUUAAAAUAAUAAUACCAAGCAGACUUCGUGUGCAGACUUUAUCUGUAAAUUGCUGGAGAAGUCUAAUUUAACAAGCUAACUAGCUUAUAAAUAAAUAAAAACUCGAUUCCACAAUAAAUAUUGACUUAAAUCAAAUGAAAAUCAUUGAGUAGUUCAACCACUUGCUAACACACAUGUCCAAACUUAAAAAUUAAAAAAAAAACAUUCUAAAUACUUUAGAAAAACAUUUUUAAAGUAAAUACAAAAAUUAAACUUCCCAACUAGACUUCAUGAGUAAGGAGAAGUCUACUUUUUUCCUGUAGAAAUCUGUGAAAGAAGUCUACUUAAAAAAGGUUAUUAUUGCAAUUGACCAAAAUGUUGACUAUAUCAUAUUAGACUUCACUUGUAGACUUCCAAUAGAAAAUGUUAGUUUUGCAUUUGACCAGAUCAUUGGCUUUUGGAGUAGACUUCUUAUAUGAGUAUACUUCUCUGACAGUCUACUAAAGAAAUCUACUGGAUUCAAUAGAAGUCUACAGGUUAAAAUAGGUUAUUUUUGUAAUUGAUUGUUCAUAGUAGUCUUCACUGGGAAGUUUACUAAAAAAAGUAAUUUUUGUGUUUGACAGGAAAAUUGAAGUAGACUUCAGGAAUAAGUUUACUUUGAUUUUAGACUUCAUCCUGAAGUCUACUUUAUUUUUUGGGAUUUUUUUUUUUAAGUUUUAAUUUUAGUCAAACACAAAAAUUACUUCAAUGAUUUUGGUCAAAUACAAAAAUAACUUAAAACUAGACUUUUAGAGCAGACUUAUAAAGAGAGCAACUUUUUAAAAGUCAAAGUAAGGUCAACAACAAAAAUAACCUCUUUUUCUGUCGACUUCUCGCAACUUCAAACAAAGUUUACUAGUUUAUUUUUUUGUUUUCAAAGGAUAACGAGUAGACUUCUCCUGAAAUCUACUGAAGUCUACUCGUUACAAAUUUUUGAAAAGUCAACUGCAAAACUAACCUUAUGUUGAUUAGUAAACUUCACGAUACAGAUAUAGAUAUUACCAAAAUUAAAGUGUAUCAUUACCUAUAUCGGUUUUGUGUUCGUUUUUAGGUCUCUCAUGUACCCUGAACUAUUUCACCAAAAAAAAAACAACGCAGGUCAUGGUUAUGCAAGAAUCACCAAAAAUACUUCACUUAUGACAUUGUAAAUCAACCCAGAAGUUUUGGAGAUGAAAUUAGAAAAGAAUAAAGAAGAUUAUGAGUGUAUGAGCUCUAAUAUUUAGUUAUUACAGCUUUAAUAAUCAGUUGAGAAGCAUUUAAAUCUUGAAACUGGUUGUUCAUGGUGGUUGGAAGUAUUGAAAAAGAUGAAAUUUUGUAAUAAAAAGGGGUUUAGGAGGUCCAAGGGGUUUUUGUGUAAUAAUUUUAAAAAUUGAAAUAAAUGAUAUAUAAUAACAUUUUCGUGAAUAUAUAAGAGCAUCUCCAAUCCAGGUUCAUCAGGGGUUCAUCAGUGGGGUCCAACUGUUUUUGGGUUUUUUUAAAAAAUCCAAAAGUCCAAUUUUCCAAUAAACCCGUCUCUUUAGGAUGAACCCGACAAAUCCGUCUUUUUAGAAGUUCAUUGGCAAUGUGUCAUAUUCCCAUUGGCCUUUGGUAAAUAAAUUAUGUGGAUAAAAAUUUGGUCGGGGUUCAUCACUCUUUAAGGAGAGGUUCAGGGUUGGAGGUGCAAAAAAUUAUGGGUUCAUCACUGUUCAAACAAAAAAAUAAUAAAAAAAAUCUCAAAGAAGUCCAAGUAGGGAUUCAGGGUUGGAGAUGCUUUAAGAGAGAAUGAUAAACUAUUUACAAAGUGGCAAAAAUAGGAAAAAAAAGUUAUUUUGGUGGUUGACUUUUCAAAAGAAGGUUAUAUAUGAAAUAAACCCUAAAUUUAUAACAUAGAUUCAAGAAAAAAUCCAACUAUAAUAUAUAUGAUUUUUAAGAUGUUUGAACUAUAUUUAUGAUACCUAAUAUACCAGAAUAUAUAUUCACCAGAUUGUAGAAGAAUCCAUCUCUUGGUAAUGGAACUUGUAUCUUGCGCACAAUUGUAUAAGAAAUUUGAGAAAUAAGGUGUAUAUUAUGUUGUCCAUAUAUAAUAGGGAUGCCAUUUAAACGAUGAAAAUAACUGAAAUAUUACCAGUUUUACGAGUUCAACAACAAACUAGCGAUCACAACAUGGUUUUAUUGCAUACAAACUCCCCAUCCCAGCUUAUUCAAACGCACUUUCACUCUUCUAUAUAACGAGGGAGAAAGUUAGCAAAUUCCACACCCAAGUCGUGAUAGUCUCGGAAGAAGAUAUUAUACACCUGCAAAGUAUGUAAUCAUCAAACCCAAUACGAGAAUUCUAAAGAGAAAAAAAAAACAGUUUUAAUAAUAUACACUUUACAAAGUAGUUACACACAUAUAUACCUCAAGGUAGAACUCAGCAAAGCUCUUCUUGUUCUCAGCUUGCAUGCGCAACAUCUCUGUAUGCACGAUCGUCUUGCAACCUUGCCUACAGAUAAAUGUGGUUAAUAGAAAAACGGCAAAGUAUGAAAAGAGAAAAUAAUUUUAUAUUAGGGUUAAUUUGCUUUCAGUUUUUGAAUAAAUAAGAGAAGAAAAAAAAAAUCAAAUCAAAUCGAUAAUCGAAUUGUCCAUCCCUUUUUUCUAGCAUGGGUGAAGGUGCUUACCUUGACCUAUUGUUAAAACUAACAGCGUCCCAGAAGUCAGGUAUUGGUCGUGGAGUUUAAUCACGCUCGAGUGUUAUAAGAUAACACUCUGGCAAGAAUUUAUUUAAACCCAAAAUCAGUUCUUGGUGGCCUUCGAAGAGAUCUUUUACCUUUGCUCUCACACAACAACUACAAAUUCUACAAUGAAAAUACCAUCAAAUUCUCCAGCUCUCCAUAAAUCAUGGGGAGGCAAAUAUGAACUUAUUAUUUGGAGACAAAUAAUAACAAAACAUUAUGAAGGAAAUCAAUCAUUAACAGUGAGAAUAUACCUCUUAGUUUUAAGGUCCUUCAUGACCUUAAGAAAUGUAUAAUAUAUUUCACGAUUAUCAUGAAAUUCAUCCCAAACAGUUUUGAUGUAUUCACGUGCAUCCGUAAUACAUUGCCUCAUUGUGACCAUGUUUUAAAAUUACCUAUAAUGUUUUUAAUUAUUCAGAGAAAGAGAGAGUAUAUCAAUGUAAAUCAAUCAAAAGGCGUAACAAAAAGAAAUUCAAAAUCUAUAUUUUCCGAUAAUCAAACUCGAAAUCAUAUCUAGUCAUCAUAAAAAAAAUCAUAAGAAAUAUUGCAAUGAAAUUCGAAGCUACCAAUCAGAAAAUCUGAGUCUAACUUAACCCAGAUAUUAUUUAACAAUAUAAACGUAUAAAUGCUCGAAACAAAGUUUAAAAGAAAAGCCAUAAGAUAAAACUAUACAAGUUCAUCGUACAACUAGAUGGAAAAGUUUCUCCUUACCUCACACGGAGCACGUAAAUAAGACUUGAGCAAUUCCCACCCUUGAACAACUCCUAAAAAAAUACAUGAGAGAAGGUUAAUUUAUUACAUAACACUUAUAAAGAAAUGUAAAGUACAUUAAAAAAAAAAUUCUUUUAGGGUAACAUUUAAAAUUAUUACUCUUUUUUUCCUUACCUUUUUCUUCUUAUUUGACUAUAUUUUAUUUUGUUAUUUUAUUUGUUAUUUUAUAAAUUGAUGACAUAUGAAUUUUUAAAUUAACUUUUUUAUUUCAAAAACUAUUAAAAAUUUUAGCUAGUAAAACUAAAAUAUUGACCAUAAAUAUAUGUUCUGUUUUAAAGAUUUAUAUGGUUCUGAAUGGUGAUUAGUUGAGGAAUAAUAAGAAUGAAAAGAAAAAGAAUAGGAAUAUUUUUUUUCUUUAUUAUUCCUUCUAUAGUUUUAUUAAAAUAUUUUAGUUCUAUGCAAUUGGUUGUUCCUUAAAAAAGAAAGAAUGAACAGUAUAUUGUUUUAAGAACAAAGAUGAAUUCAUUGUUCCUCAAUAUUUAUAAACUAGAUUUUACCUUUUACGUCCGCACGAAAACUAUUUUUUAUUUAUGUAAUAUAAUUUCUGUUUUAUUUUUGUUCAUAUAUAAAUUUUUUAAUAAUUGAUAAAAAAUUUAUGUUUAAAUAUAAUUUGUUUCUAUUAAUUUAUCUUUUCUAGUAUUAUAUAUGACCGAGAUUAGAAAAAUAUUAUUCUAACUUGUCAAUUGAUAUUGAUUUUAAAAAUAUCACAAUUAAAAAUAUUAUUAUAACAUGUUCAUUUAUAUUAAUCUGAAAAAACUAAAAUUAUUAAAAUAUUUAACAUGUCCGUUAAUAUUAUUUAUAUAUUUUAAAUAUUUAAAUUUUAAAAUUAUUUAAUAAAAAUAUAAUAAUAUAUUAUUUUCAUUUCUUUCAUUGAAAAUAUUAUUUAAAUUUAAAUAUUUAAAUUAGAUCUAAAUUCAUAUUUGGGUUAUUAUUUUGUACAGAUAUAAUAAUAAUUUAUUUUAUAAUUUUUGAUACUAUAACAUAUAUUUAAGGAAAUCUAUAACAUCUAAAUUAAAAGCUAAAUUUUCGAAUUUAUAUUAAAAUUAAAAGUAUAAAUUUAUUAUUUUAUUAAUAUUACACUAAAUUAAAUUAUUUAGUAAAUAUAAAUUAAAAUCAUAAUUAUUUGACUACAGAAUAGUUAUCCAAAAAAACAGAAUAGUAGAAAACCAAGUAAAAAUUCUGUUUGGACAUAAAACACCAUUUUCUUUUAAUAAUAUAGAUAUGUAUUUAGAAAUGAAGGAGAACUGAUUGUUCCUUAUCAUUUGGUCACCAUUUAAAGUCUAUGUAUUUGAUAAAAUAACCAAUAAAUGAAAUAUACAUAGCAAACAAUUAUACCUAUUAGUAUAACUUAAAAACUAAGUCGAAUUUUUUUAUAUAUCUUCAGGUGGACAUCAGAAUUCUAAAUUCUUUCAUGUUUCUAGAAUCUAAACCUUAUGCUUUCUCUACUAGAAAAUGUAACACCCUGAUAUGUAAACACUCUGAUACACACAUGAAUUUUGCCUCAGAUUUAGUUUAAUUUUUAGGAUAUAUUUUUUUUUAAAGAAGAACAAUAUAUAUAUAUAUAUAUAUAUAUAUAUCCUAUAAAUUUUUAGGAUAUAUUUGAUCAAAAAAUAUAAUUAGGGCUUUCUCUCAGUAUCUCUCUGCAGAUAUAAUUGGCUUAUUCUUAAUUUAGUGAUAAUGAUUUAUAAUAUAAAAGAACUAUAUGUUUGAUGGUAUCAGUUGACCGAAUUAAAACCCAAAAGUUAUUUGGUUUUCAAUUUGACUUUGAUUUUGAUUCAAUUUUCAUAAAAAUAACAAGCAUCAUGCAAAUAAUUAAGGAGAUUACUAUUCUCAAAAUAUACAUAUAGAAUGUACUUUCGAUAGACAUCAAUAAAAAAACAAAAACCAAAGAACCAGAAAGAAAGGAAAACUGAGAAAAUAAAAAAGGGGAGAAACUCUUAAUACGCUUAUCUCGAACCAAAUCGGAAAAAAGGAAACAUAUACUGGAGUAGGUGAUCCGAAUGUUUAGUGAUGAUGAGAUGUCAACGUGCGUAUCCACUACGGUCCAUAGGCGACAACUUUGGAACAUUGGUUGUUGGUCAGGUCCGACCACGACUUGAAGCUUAAGCCCAGCCUCACAGUGACCUGGCUUCGAGCUUAUGAAAUAAUGAACUCCUGGUUUGGUGAGCCUGACGAGAUCGUAGCCAGUCUUGUGCAAGGCAACAGGUGAAGUCAUGUUGCAGUAUAAGAAUUCCAGAUCACCGCUGAUUUCUAAGACGUCGUUUAAUUCUUGGCCGUAUUUAAAAAGGAGAUUGUCUCCAACAUGAAACUCUUUCUCCUCGCUCCAGUUGUAAUAGUAGUCACUGUCGUAAACCCUCCAUCCUUUGGAGUCACCGACCUUGUAGAUCUUUCCAGAAGAAAGGACCUGGCUCUGUGGUGGUGGUGGAAUCAGACGUGACUGGUCAUGGACGACAAGAACCUCGGACAUGAGCAUUGAGUAUGAUUUGAAGUGAUGAAGAAGUAAGAACCAGGUUCCCUAAGGGUUACCGCAUGGUGUCCUGUGUUGUAGACGGCUAUAGGAAAAGAAGAGUCGCAGAAUUGGGACUCCAAAGCUCUGGUGACUUGUGUGAGGUCGUUAAGUUGUGAUUGUAUUCAAAGACCAGAGAAUCUCUAACGUGAAAUUUCUUAUGCUUGGCUCAACCUUAAUAGACGUCGUAUUUGGCAUUCCAUCCUUUGGAGUCUCCCACUUUGUAGAUCGUCGCGGAGCAGCAACCCAAGAGAAUUGUGAAGGUUGUUAUUAUCACGAUCAAGAACCUCAACACCUUCUUAGUUUUUGUUGAAGCCAUGAUUCGAUGGUAUACGAAGAGAAGGAACUAACAAGUAAACAAGAAAAAUGUCGCUGAAUGAGAUCGAGAAAGAGAUAGAGAGGUUUGAAGGAAAAGUUUCGAUAAUGUGUUUGUGAGGAAAAAUACGUUACCCUAUCACUAUUUAUAUAGUGCAUUUAACGAUUAUAAUCCUUGCUUUGUUUACGUUUUCAUUUAGCUUAUUUCCUUUUUCUAAAACAUCCCACUAUUUAAUCUAAAGAACUUGAAUGAAAUAGCUUUAAUAAUUAAAGGGGGAAUUGCUAAAAAUAGGCCACAAUUUGAUUCCAAAUGCAAAAGUAUACUCUAAAUUCAACCUAUUGCAAAAAUAGGUCAGAGGAGUAGAGAAAUUACCAUUAUCUCUUACAUGAGUAAACAAUAAAACGGAUGUCUCAAUUACGAUUAUAACCCUUCGAAGUCUGCAAAUACUAAUGAAGUCUGCUCAGCAGACUGAUAAAGAAGUCUACUAUAAUAUUAAAUAUUAUUUUUAAAUUUAAAAAUUAUAUAAAAAUAAUGUAAACUGAAGUUUGUUUCCAUAAAUCAAAUGUCAACAAGUAUGAUCUAUAAAAAUUAUAAUUUAAUAAAUAUGAAUCAUUUUUAACCAUCUAAGAUAAACAUAAAAAGUGAAAAUUUUUAAAUUAGGGCUGCAGACUUCUUUAUCAGUCUGCAGAGCAAACUUAUAAGAAGUCUGCUAUAUUAUUAAAUUUUAUAUUUAAAAUUUAAAAUUAUAUAAAAAUAAUUUAAAUUGAAAUUUGUUUCUAUAAAUCAAAUGUCAACAAGUAUGAUCUAUAUAAAUUAUAAUUUAAUAAAAUAAAUUAUUUUAAACCAUCUAAGAUAAAUAUCAAAAAUGAAUAAUUUUAAACUAGGGUUGUAGACUUCUUUAUAAGUCUGCUUAAACCGUAAACGAAAUUAAAAUCAAAUAUUGAUUUAAACCAGAAAUAAUUAACCUAACCAGAUAUAACCGGAUAUUUUUACCCUAUUAUAUAAAUGAGAUUUUACCCUAAUUCAGAAACUCUCCACUUUGAUCACUCUCUCCAAAAACGGCGCUGCAUUUUCUCUGUUGCUGUAACCUCUUUCUUUCUGUUCUCCAUUUUUGCUAUGUUCUUCGUUCACUUGAGUUCGGAUCUGCAAUCAUCUACAACAAGGACCAAGCUUCGGACGACCACGUAAGAAUCUGUCCCAUUUAAUUAUUUUACAAAUUUUUGUUGAUUUCAUCUUCUAAUGCUAUUUUGGUCGUUUUCUUUGUUAUUUCAUCUUAUUGUUAGUACCGAUCAACCAGAACAACACACCUCCUUCUCCUCCGCCGUAAUCGUAACCACCUCCGAUGAGAAGGAUGAUUCGAACAAGCAGAUCGUUCCGGCGUUUAUCACGAAAUCGGAGACGAAGAAGGAAAAUAUUCGGCCGGUGACGGAAUUUCGGAGGACGGAAUCGGCGAUAUAGAGACUGAGCAGUGAGGAGUUUCGUUUGAAGGUAGAGAAAUUCAUAAUGGAGAAGAGAGGAGUCUCGUUCUGGAAAACGACGCCGUCCAAUGGCAAGGACUUGUUUGUGCUGUCUCAGGCUAUGGCUCGUGCUAAAAGUUAACUAGCAAGUAUUAAAAACACAUAUAACUUGGAAGAUAAUUUUAGGAGCCGGUGACUUUUUAGAUUCGCUGGUCUUUAUGCUCUCAUCAUCAGAGAUGCUUAUGUUUUACGACGUUUAUCUUUAUUACUAAUAAUAAUAUAAACCAGUGUUCUAAAAAUCGGUUUCUUCGGCUGCCUAGGCACCGAGUAGGCGCUAAUAGAUGGUGGACCGCCCCGAUUUGGCUAUAAUCGGUUAAAAAAUCGGCUAAAAUGAAAAAAUUAUCUAAAACUUAAUUUUUUGAUUAUAAAUCGGUAAACUAAUGAAAGAUUUAAGCUAUUUUGAUCAAGAUAUGUGUGUAACUGAUGAAAAAAAAGGUAGAUAUACGAAAAUGUCAGAAGAAAAAAAACAGGGACAAUGGUGGCCACUAGGGUUUUUAGGGGAAGAAGAUUGCUCAUGGAAAAAUGACGAUUUUAUCCUUCUCAUUUAAGUAAAAAACAAGACAAAUGCUCUUUAAAAGUCUCGAACCUCGGGUUGGAAGCAAUAAAUAUGACUCCCUAACCACUACACCACGUUGACAUAUAGGUCAUAUAUUCAACUUUACUAAUAUAUAACCUUUAUAUAUAUAAAAUCAUAAAAAAAUAACCAAAACUGGAAGCAUAAUGGUUCGAACCCACGUACUUUGGGCAACAAGAGAAUCUGUUUCCACCAGACCACAAGAGUUUGUUAACGUUGUAUGCGUUAAUAAAGUAAUUUAUAUACUAUCAAGACCGUUAACAAAAGUGGCUAAUAGUUAAAGUUGAGGACAAACCAUGACAGGUAAAUGCAAGAAUAACUGAUUUUUCAAUCUUAUACAAAUGCAAGAACAAUAACAAAUAAAAAUAAUUGAAAGGAAGUAGACUUCUAAACUUCUUUAGAAGUCUGCGAAAAUAGCUAAAUCAAACAAGAAAAUUCAUUACUUUGUAAUUAUAACACAUAAUAACGUCAAAUUCAUAUAGAUGCAACAUAAAAAACAAAUAAACAUGUCAAGACAAGAAAAUCAUUUUUACAAGUAACAAAUAUUUCAAAAAUGAAUUUUUUAAAAAAAUAAUUAGACAGACUUCUUAUGCAGUCUGCUAUGAUAUGCUAAUACGUAACAGCAGACUUCAUCUACAGACUUCUUUUAGAAGUCUGCUGAGAUGUGCUAAUUACCUUUUAAAUCAAGAAAAUUCAUAACUUUAUAAUUAUAACACAUAAACACACCAAACUCAUAUAAGUGAAAGAAUCAUACCUAAAAUGCAUUUACAAAUUUAAAAAAUUUUAAAAAACAUUACAAAUAUUUUAUAAAAUUGCAUUUUAAUUUUUUUUUAAAAAUGCAGACAUCCGUUCAAAGUCCGCUGGGAAAAUUUCACGUUGAAGUCUUCUAGAAAAAAGGUUAUUUUUGCAUUUGACCAAAUAUUUGACUUUUCGUAGCAGACUUCUUUUUGCAGGCUGCGAGAAAAAAAUGUUAUUUUUGCAAUUGACCAAAAGUUUGACUUUUAGAGCAGUCUGCUAAUGAGUAAAGAAGUCUGCUAUAGUAGAGAAGUCUGCUAUGCACAGACUUCUAAAGAAGUCUGCUUGUAGGUCAGAUUUGCAUUUGACCGAAUCUUAAUUAAUUUAAAAAGAAGUCUGCUAUUUUUUUUUUUGGUAGCAGACUUCUUUUGAAGUCUGCUAUAAAAGUCAAAAGUGGUCAAAAUUUUGGUCAAUUGCAAAAAUAACCUUUCGAGUCAAACUACGAAAAGAAGUCUGCUAUAAAAGUCAAAGAUCGACAAUUUUUUUGGUCAAAUGCAAAACUAAUCUUUUCUUCUCGCAGACUGCAAAAGAAGUCUACAUGAUUUUUUUUUUGUUUACAAAGGACAAUUAUGAAGUCUGCUUACAAAAAUAUGAAAAAAGUCAAUUGCAAAUCUAACCUUUGCGUUGACUAGCAGACUGAAAAAGAAGUCUGCUUUCGCGAAACAGAGCUAAAUGUUAAAGAAAAUAAAGUAGAUGUUUACCUACUUCCAAUUUAAACUCGAUUAACUUUGACAUACACCUAGAAUUUUGUAUAGCACCGAUAGCAAACUAGCUAAGUUGUUGUUAUGCAAGAAUCUCCAAAAAUAGAUGAUUUAUGAAAUUGAAAAUUAUGAAAAAGAGCAUGAAAGAGUUUUUUAGAUGAAAUUGGAGAGAAAUUUGUAGGUAAAAUGAAGUUAUAAGCGACACAAUAAGCAUUUAGAGCUUCAAAAUUGGUUGGGCAAACAUUUAGAGCUUCAAAAUUGGUUGGUAAUGGUGGUUGGCAAAAUUGAAGAAGAUGGCAUUUUCGUAAAUAAGUGAUAUAUUUUAGGAUGGUUGUGUAUUUUUGGUAUUUUUUAGAAAAAAUAAAAAUUGAAAACAUAAUGGCUUUUUCGUGAAUAUAUGUGAGGAGAUAGUAGGAAGAAAAUGGCAUUUGUUGAAGAGGGAGAAAAAAGAGGUUAUUUUUGCAUUUGACUUCAAAUUAUGGGUCAUAUGUGCAAGUACCCCAUAAUUAAAAGUUCUCUCAUGUAGCCUUCAUUUGGCAAGCUACCCAAACUAGCAUUCAUUAAAAAUUAAAAAUUAAAAAUUAAAAUGACAAAAAAUAGGUUUCAAUUAAAAGGAAAUAGAGAUCAUCUUCUCCACCCGUUGAUGGGUCAAAAUUGAUUGUGGCGAUCCUUUGAAUUGAAUAAUGGAAUCUGCUCCUCCAGAAUCAAUGAAUAUAAGGCAUUUCCCAAAAAUUUUGAUUCAAGGAUCAAUCGCAAAGUUCUAAGAGUUUAUGAAAUUGAUUUUAGACUUUGACAGAGUAUUGAUAGCUGAGUAGAGUGAUAACACCGGAUUUUGACCAUUUUUAUAGAUCACUUUAAUGUUUUUUACAUGUGUUUUUACUCCAUUUUCAAAGGUUUUCAAAAGAUUUCUAUGUUUUCGGAUUUUAAAAGACUUUUCAGGUAAUUUGUGACAAAGAGGCACAAAUUGGAACAAAAAGAGUCUUUUGGAUAAAUGCAGACCGUCAGAACUCUCAUAGAGAGACGAAGACCUUCUCACCGUCUGAUCACCCUCAAAACUGGACAACUUAUAGAAGAAUCAACCAGCUUUCAAAUGCACUUGGUUUGGAGACAUUCCAACGGUUGGAUCUCAAGAUAUUCCAUUAGCCCCGGAGCCACUCGAAGACGGCCAGCAAGUCACGCGACCGCGGCCACCAGCCCAUUCCCUGCGGUCACAAGCUUCCCGACCGCGGCCAACCACCUAUUUACCGCGGUCACGUCAUUCCCGACCGCGCCCGGCCAACUCCGAAUUAAAUCCUAUAUUUCUGAAGCCCAAAGUCAUUUCUCAGCCUCAAUUCCGGAACCCUAGAGACCAUGGAGUAUUGAAGACUAUAAAUAUUUGUCAUUUAGGUCGUUUUUAGACACCACCUUCAUACUUUACAGAAACUCAUUUCCUUUAACCGUUUUUAUGCCAUUUUUGUAGAAGAUUGUUCAAGUCUGAGUUCUUCAAUAGAGAAGCUAUCUUUCAUCGCUUUUCUUUACUGUUUUUGAUUACUUUUAUUAAAACCAAUGAUGAUGUCGACCUCAGCCAUGUCUGAGUAGAUCCCGAGUUGGGCUUAGGGUUCCCGAAAGGGGCUCUCAUAAUCGAUUAAGACAUCUAGGUUUAUAGAUCUGAGAUUUUAUCUUUGUUCUCUGUUUAUUCUCGUUCUUAUUGCAUGUAUGCUUGAUUGAUCAUCUAGUAUCUGAUCUAGAUAGUUAGUGUUGCGAAAUUUUUCAUUAAGUAUCAGAUCUAGAAUGAAAUAGGCGAUUUUUCCGUAGGAGUAGAAACCUACCUGCGGCGAGAUCGUGAGUAUUGACGAGUCUUGUGCAGCUCUUGCGUUCUCUCCCUUCCAGGGCCAGAGUCGAAACCUACUGGUCAAGGUUGCGAGAAACAGUUGUUAUGAUCACGACAGUGACGUAGUCAUACCGCCGUACUCUAGCUCUAAAACCCUAUAUUUCGAUAUCCGUCAAUCCCAAUCUAUCACCCCUAGUGUUAAAGCCGAUUAUGAUCCCUGUAGAGUUCCCGAUAGGCCUGGGCACAUUAUCCGAACCCGAAUAAUUUAUCCGAACCCGACCCGAAAAAGAGAAAUCGAACCCGAAUCGAAACUGUUAAAAUAUCCGAACGGUUUUUAAAUUUCUAAAUCCGAAAAACCAAAACCGAACCAAACCGAACCAAAAAUCCGAAUGGAUAUCCGAAAUAUCCGAAAUACAAUUAUAUACCCAAAAUACUAACUACAAUUAGAUUUAAUAGCCUAAAAUUACAAUUAUAAAUCCAAAAUAUGAAUUAUUUUUAUUCUGAAAAUGAUGAAAAAUCCAAAAUAAUUUAAACAUACUAAGUUUUUAGUUAUAUUUUUAAAUUUUGCCAAAUUUUAUUUGAAUUUAACUAAUUUUAUUUAAAUUUAAUUAUUUUUAUUUAAUUUUAUUAUUUUUUGGAUAUCCGAACCCGAACCGAACCCGAUCGAAUAUAACCGAACCCGAACCGAAAUUCCAAAAAUAUCCGAAUGGGUUUUAAAUCUAAAAACCGAAAAUCCGAAAAACCGAAUUAUCCGAACCGAACCCGAAUGGAUAUCCGAACGCCCAGGCCUAGUUCCCGAAAGUUCAGCGUUUUUAGCCAUAGUUUACAAAUCAAUCGAUUUUUACUUGCGUAUUUAGAUCUGCAUUUCAAUUGCUUUAGUUCGAUAUUUUGCUUGCUUUAUUUGCUUUCCAUUCGAUUUUUCUACUUGCUCCUUAUGAUAGAUUUAUUUGCUUUCUUUCGUUUUAGUUUAAUCAGUGACAAACAACCAACCUCUCAAACCAAUCUAGUCUAAACAAAAAGUUAGAAAUCGUAGAAGAAUACCAGGCACACAAAUAUUUGUGGAUUCGAUCCCUAAAUACUACAACUGAUUAGCUGUGCACUUGCGGCUUUCAUUAGUUUUUGUUAAGGGUAAAACGUGUUCCCUCACGCAGUUGACACGCAUCAUAGAGGAAGAUUGAAACAGAUAAUCAUAGAGAGAAGAAGACAGAGAGCAAGGUGCCUCUAGAGGAUGAUUGAUGCCCGAUCAGUUUCAAUUGUCUGAGUGAAUUAGAGUUCGUGGAAGACCAGACGGAAUUGGUGAAUUUGCAGAAAGAAAUGGUUCA